GGUCUGUAUCAAAAGACAGAAUCUUGAUGACUAAGACAUUUUCUUUGGACCCAGGAGAAGAACAUAUGCCUGAGAAGAAGAACUAGUGUGGAACUGUCAGCCAGGUUUUUGAUGAGUGCUCAGACUGCUUCCUGAUCCAGCACCACAUUUACUAUAGUGGACAGAUGCUCUAGUCUCUGAUGAGGAGUUGCUAGCUGUUAGGAAGAACCUGGAAUGGGCUCCACUGCAUGAGGUUUGAAGUCUCCAGAGCAGCAAAGAGAGUGGGGAGUAGAACUCAUCAUCUUUAGGUCACUCAGCAUCGA
rnacentral:lncRNA from 1 species